rnacentral:rRNA from 1 species
UACGGAGGAUGCGAGCGUUAUCCGGAUUUAUUGGGUUUAAAGGGUGCGUAGGCGGAAUAUCAAGUCAGCGGUAAAAAUUCGGGGCUCAACCCCGUCGUGCCGUUGAAACUGACACCCUUGAGUGAGUGAGAAGUAUGCGGAAUGCGUGGUGUAGCGGUGGAAUGCAUAGAUAUCACGCAGAACCCCGAUUGCGAAGGCAGCAUACCGGCGCCCUACUGACGCUGAGGCACGAAAGUGCGGGUAUCGAACAGG